rnacentral:rRNA from 1 species
AUUGAACGCUGGCGGCAGGCCUAACACAUGCAAGUCGAGCGGAUGAAGGGAGCUUGCUCCUGGAUUCAGCGGCGGACGGGUGGGUACUGCCUAGGAAUCUGCCUGGUAGUGGGGGAUGACGUCCGGAAACGGGCGCUAAUACCGCAUACGUCCUGAGGGAGAAAGUGGGGGAUCUUCGGACCUCACGCUAUCAGAUGAGCCUAGGUCGGAUUAGCUAGUUGGUGGGGUAAAGGCCUACCAAGGCGACGAUCCGUAACUGGUCUGAGAGGAUGAUCAGUCAGACUGGAACUGAGAAACGGUCCAGACUCCUACAGGAGGACGCGGUCGGGACUCUUGCGGGAUGGGCCAAAGCCUAAUCCAGCCAUGCCGCGUGUGUGAAGAAGGUCUUCGGAUGGUAGAGCGCUUAAAGUUGGGAGGAAGGAAAGUAAGUUAAUCCCUUACUGUUUUGACGUUACCAACAGAAUAAGCACCGGCUAACUCCGUG